rnacentral:rRNA from 1 species
AGAGUUUGAUCCUGGCUCAGGACGAACGCUGGCGGCGUGCCUAAUACAUGCAAGUCGAACGCUUCUUUUUCCACCGGAGCUUGCUCCACCGGAAAAAGAGGAGUGGCGAACGGGUGAGUAACACGUGGGUAACCUGCCCAUCAGAAGGGGAUAACACUUGGAAACAGGUGCUAAUACCGUAUAACAAUCGAAACCGCAUGGUUUUGAUUUGAAAGGCGCUUUCGGGUGUCGCUGAUGGAUGGACCCGCGGUGCAUUAGCUAGUUGGUGAGGUAACGGCUCACCAAGGCCACGAUGCAUAGCCGACCUGAGAGGGUGAUCGGCCACAUUGGGACUGAGACACGGCCCAAACUCCUACGGGAGGCAGCAGUAGGGAAUCUUCGGCAAUGGACGAAAGUCUGACCGAGCAACGCCGCGUGAGUGAAGAAGGUUUUCGGAUCGUAAAACUCUGUUGUUAGAGAAGAACAAGGAUGAGAGUAACUGUUCAUCCCUUGACGGUAUCUAACCAGAAAGCCACGGCUAACUACGUGCCAGCAGCCGCGGUAAUACGUAGGUGGCAAGCGUUGUCCGGAUUUAUUGGGCGUAAAGCGAGCGCAGGCGGUUUCUUAAGUCUGAUGUGAAAGCCCCCGGCUCAACCGGGGAGGGUCAUUGGAAACUGGGAGACUUGAGUGCAGAAGAGGAGAGUGGAAUUCCAUGUGUAGCGGUGAAAUGCGUAGAUAUAUGGAGGAACACCAGUGGCGAAGGCGGCUCUCUGGUCUGUAACUGACGCUGAGGCUCGAAAGCGUGGGGAGCAAACAGGAUUAGAUACCCUGGUAGUCCACGCCGUAAACGAUGAGUGCUAAGUGUUGGAGGGUU